rnacentral:piRNA from 1 species
UGGCAGGACCAAGGGCUUCCCUUCCACUGU